GAAACACUGGUUCCUGUACGAUCACCAAAGUUAAGCAAUGUUGAGCCUGGUCAGUACCUAUAUGGGUGACCUGUUGGGAAUACAAGGUGCUGAAA